rnacentral:lncRNA from 1 species
CCCACUAAAAAGGAAUUCAAUGAACACAUUGUAUUUAUAUCAACAAUAAUCAGUUAUAAGUGAAGAAAUAUAUUUUAUACCCAUGUAUAUUCACUGACAAGGAAAAUUUGUAAAAUGACAUUAUUUAAAUGCAGUGUUAAACUGCAAGCUACUGCUCACUGAUGAUACCCCUGCUGCAAGUGGAUAAUAUUAAUAGUGUAAAAAUAUGCAAGUGUUCGGUAAACAGGAAGUUGUCAAGUGAUGAAUCUGAAAACGCAUCAUACAGUAUAGCUGACUUAUAUUUAACCCUGAAACCAAAUUUCAGAAAUCCUUGUAUCGUAGUUCCUGAGAAAAUUGUGACGAAAAUUUUCAACUUGGCUAUCAUGUGUAAAAUCAUACAAGUGUUCGGUAAACAGGAAGUUGUCAAGUGAUGAAUCUGAAAACGCAUCACACGGUAUAGCUGACUUAUAUAAAACCUGAAACCAAAUUUCAGAAAUCCUUGUAUUGUAGUUCCUGAGAAAUUGUGACGAAAUUUUCAGCUUGGCUAUCAUUUUUAAAAUCAUACAAGUGUUCGGUAAACAGGAAGUUGUCAAGUGAUAAAUCUGAAAACGCAUCACACGGUAUAGCUGACUUAUAUAAACCCUGAAACCAAAUUUCAUAAAUCCUUGUAUUGUAGUUCCUGAGAAAAUUGUGAAGAAAAUUUUCAAAUUGGCUAUCAUGUGUAAAAUCAUACAAGUGUUCAGUAAACAAGAAGUUGUCAAGUGAUGAAUCUGAAAACGCAUCACACAGUAUAGCUGACUUAUAUUUAACCCUGAAACCAAAUUUCAGAAAUCCUUGUAUUGUAGUUCCUGAGAAAAUUGUGACGAAAUUUUCAACUUGGCUAUCAUGUGUAAAAUCAUACAAGUGUUCGGUAAACAGGAAGUUGUCAAGUGAUGAAUCUGAAAACACAUCACAUGGUAUAGCUGACUUAUAUAAACCCUGAAACUAAAUUUCAGAAAUCCUUGUAUUGUAGUUCCUCAGAAAAAUGUGACGAAAAAUAUUCAUGAGACAGACGGACGGACUGACUGAUGGACUGACGGAUGGAUGGAUGGAUGGAUGGAAGGACAGACAGAGGUAAAACAGUAUACCCCCCUUUUUUCAAAAGUGGGGGUAUAAAUACAUUUUCAUUUGGAUAUUUGAAGUUCUGAAAAUUGAAUUAAUUUUGAAAUACUUUAGUUUUUAGAGCCAAUUUGACUCUUAAACUGAUCUUCACCAAAAUAUACGGUAAAAUUCUAACAUUUUUCUUCAUUACAAGAAAGUGUCCAUCAAUGUGUAUCAGUACUAGUAUUUUCAUAAGAAUGUGUAUGAAAUUAGUG